rnacentral:tRNA from 1 species
GAGGGUAGAGCUCAGGGGUGGAGCUCGUGCUUCGCAGGCACGAGGUCCUGAGUUCAAUCCCCAGUACCUCCA